GCUGCAGGCCCAUGCCCAUGGAAUAGGCCCAUUGAUAAAAAAAAAAAAGAAAAACAGUUAUUUAUUUUUUUUAAAACACACUUCUCUUAGGUUUGCCACCUAGCCGGUAUUUCUCCGGUAUUUGAGGCUGCCGGUAUUGCAGUAAUACCGGUGUGACGACAGCAACCUCACCACAUUGCAUUGGAGAAGCCUGGUUGCUCGCCUGCUGCCUUUGGAUUAUGGCC